AACGAACGCUGGCGGCAUGCCUAACACAUGCAAGUCGAACGAGACCUUCGGGUCUAGUGGCGCACGGGUGCGUAACGCGUGGGAACCUGCCCUUAGGUUCGGAAUAACUCCCCGAAAGGGGUGCUAAUACCGGAUAAUGUCUUCGGACCAAAGAUUUAUCGCCUUUGGAUGGGCCCGCGUUGGAUUAGCUAGUUGGUAGGGUAAAAGCCUACCAAGGCGACGAUCCAUAGCUGGUCUGAGAGGAUGAUCAGCCACACUGGGACUGAGACACGGCCCAGACUCCUACGGGAGGCAGGAGUGGGGAAUAUUGGGAAAUGGGCGAAAGGCUGAUCCAGCCAUGCCGCGGGAGUGAUGAAGGCCUUAGGGUUGUAAAGCUCUUUUACCCGGGAUGAUAAUGACAGUACCGGGAGAAUAAGCGCCGGCUAACUCCGUG
rnacentral:rRNA from 1 species